UACGUAGGCAGCGAGCGUUGUUCGGAGUUACUGGGCGUAAAGGGUGUGUAGGCGGCUCCCUAAGUUUGGUGUGAAAUCUCCCGGCUCAACCGGGAGGGUGCGCCGAAAACUGGGGGGCUAGAGUGCGGGAUGGGAAAGUGGAAUUCCUGGUGUAGCGGUGAAAUGCGUAGAUAUCAGGAGGAACACCGGUGGUGUAGACGGCUUUCUGGACCGUAACUGACGCUGAGGCACGAAAGCGUGGGUAGCAAACAGG
rnacentral:rRNA from 1 species